rnacentral:rRNA from 1 species
CAAUUUUCAGCGACGGAUAUCUUGGCUCGAGCACCUAUGAAGGGCGCAGCGAAGUGCGAUAAUCGUUGUGAAUUGCAGAACUCCGUGAACCAAUGGCCUCUUGAACGUGCAUUGCGCUCUUGGGGUAUGCCUGAGAGCAUGUCUGCUUCAGUG